rnacentral:misc_RNA from 1 species
AAGUCGUAACAAGGUUUCCGUAGGUGAACCUGCGGAAGGAUCAUUAAAAAUGAAGCCGGGAAACCGGUCCUUCUCACCCUUGAUUAUCUCAAUUUGUUGCUUUGGCGGGCCGCGCAAGCACCGGCUUCGGCUGGAUCGAGCCCGCCAGAGGACCACAACUCUGUAUUAUAUGUCGUCUGAGUACUAUAAAAUAGUUAAAACUUUCAACAACGGAUCUCUUGGUUCUGGC